UACAGAGGGUGCGAGCGUUGUUCGGAAUUACUGGGCGUAAAGAGCGUGUAGGCGGCCUGACAGGUCUGCUGUGAAAACUCGAGGCUCAACCUCGAGAUGUCGGCGGAAACCGUCUGGCUAGAGUCCGGAAGAGGAGAGUGGAAUUCCUGGUGUAGCGGUGAAAUGCGCAGAUAUCAGGAAGAACACCUAUGGCGAAGGCAGCUCUCUGGGACGGUACUGACGCUGAGACGCGAAAGCGUGGGGAGCGAACAGG
rnacentral:rRNA from 1 species